GAGGGUAUAGCUCAGUGGUGGAGCGUGUGCUUAGCGUGCAUGAGGUCCUGGGUUCAAUCCCCAGUCCCUCCA
rnacentral:tRNA from 1 species